rnacentral:lncRNA from 1 species
CUUCAUGUAUUUAAAAAUAGUUUCCUGCUAAUUCAAGAUGCUUGUGUACUAUGUGUGUGAAGAGCACUUCAGUUAUAAUGAAGGGAUGGCAGAUUAAGGAGUUAUUUUCAAUGGGUGUAUAUACAUACAUAUAUAUAUAUAUAUUUUUUUUUUUUUUUUAAGAGAGACCUUCAUUUUGGCAGUACGAGUGAGUGAAUAUUCCUGUAGCAAUAGCUUGAUGUGCAAGACAGCAGGUGGUCAGCCAAUAAUCUUCUGAUACCUUGUGAGUAGAAAACCUUUGGUUUUGUCUUCAAGGCAUAGAGAUACCAGUACUUUCACUUCUUUUCUUCCCCCAGCCUAGUAAGCCGCUCACUGCUGGGCCAUAUAUAAGCUUUUCUGCUUUAAUUUCAAGAAUACAGUUUAUUAAUAAUUCUUUCCCACGCUAAUAAAAUCUACCUUGUAAAAUGGAUGGAAUGCAUUAGAGAAGCCAAAGUGCUCUGGAGCUGCCAUCUGCCUUGAAUAGUGCUAGCAUGAGGCUGAUGGUGGUCUGAUGGAAACCUGUCAGCUCCAUCAGUAUCUCAAGUAGUUACCUAAGAGAGCUAAUAUAUGUUCAUUAUUUAUCUGCAGAUUUAUGUGCUGAAGAAGAUUAAUCCUACAUUUAUUUCUGCAUGCAUCCUGCCCUUUAACUCCCAAGGCUUUCUGUUGCCCAAAAAGGACCACAUGUGUAUUGCAUAUGCAGACUUCCUUCUCUUACUCAGAUUUGGGGCUCUGAAUUUGGAACAGUUUUUGGUUAUAUGCUUCCUGAAACUUGGAGAAUACCUGCAAUAA